rnacentral:lncRNA from 1 species
CUUGGCAUACUGUAAGAUAAAUCAGUGAGGAAAAACAGAAAAGAUAAUCGUUAUUUAUUUUAAUGAAUUAAAUGCGCCUUUACCUCCUUGGCUUUUUUGUUCAGGUACAACAUCUCAAGCCAGGAAUAAAUGUUUCGUUAGAUGACAGACAUCGAGCAUCUGAGUCUUCAUCGUUAAGCAAUGUAUGUAUGACUUUUACUUCAAUGUGUUAUUAGUAGAUCAGAAUAGAUAGUGUUUCAUACUUGUGAAGAAGUUAUUGAAUUUUGGUUAUGUCUAGAUCCGUAUGUAUUCUUGUGUUACCUCUUGACUUUAGGCACAAACCCAUCAACAAUUAAUCUAUUACGUAUUUUAGUUUUUGAAAUUAUUGGACUUACCAUUCAAUGUUUGCACCAUUGUUUAGGUCACCGUAAGACAGUUUGGUUUUGGAUUACAUAUUCAUUCAAAUAAUAAGUACAAAUUCCCAUAUCAUAACUUUGGCUUCAGCCCAAAAUGUUAAGCCUAAAAAUUUGAUGCAGGCCACAAUGGAAGAAGUAUAAUUAAAAUUUAAGACAUUGGUAUACACCAUGCACUUACUAUGGUAUUAGAGAUUCAAUAUCACAGGUAUAUACCGGUUUUUUUUCUACAUGCUUCAUCUGGUUAAGUAGUCUGAUGACAUCUGUCAUUUUGGUGAUUAAUUAUCCAUAGUUAGAAUGAUUGAUUAAACCAAAAUCUGAUUUUUAACUGUAACAUACCUGAGCAUUGCUUACCUUUAUAUGCUUCUUGUUGUAGUAUGUCCUUGGUAUGAGACUCAAAGUAGUAAUUUUGAGAUCCAAUAAUCCUACAUCUGUUAAUUUUGUGAUUAAUUACCACCUAGUUAGAAUGAUGGAUUAGCCCAAAAUCUGAUUUACAACUAUGACAUACCUGAGCCUUGUUUAUCUUUUUAUGCUUGUUAUUGUAGUAUGUCCUUGGUAGCAAACUCUAGUAAUUAGGAAAAUCUUCCGAUGAUCCUUUUGAUCCUUUCACCUCCUUUCUCUUAGUAUUAUACGCAAAAAUUAAUCUAAUAUCAUUGUUCAGUGGGCCAUAUUUUGUGCCUUCCACAACCUUAAUAUUUCUAAAUGGAUAAAUAGAUUUCUCAGUUAUCCUUUGAUCUAUAAGUAUCUAUCCGAUUUUUACGUAUGGUAGCAUGAGUUGUUUGGUCCUCUAUCAAAAUAACUAAAAUAUAUACUUAUCCACUAUUGUUUGAACCAUAGAAUAAUCUGCAUUUAAAAUUGUAUAGGAUAAACCUGAUCAUCUGUUAAGAUCACAUCAAGACUCACUUAUCGAUUGUGUUUGGAACAAUAGAACAGUCUACCAUUAAAUAUGUAUAGCAUAAACCUGUUCAUCCAUCAAGAUCACAUCAAGGCUCAUAAGUUCAUCAGUUGUAGGAUUGAUUAUAUCCCAUGUUCUUGUUACUUUCGCUUAAAAAUCCCAGUUUUGGUCUCUUGUUGAAGUCUCCCAGCUUCUUGUAUUCGCAGGCGUUUUUACUUGAAAAGGAUUAAAACACACUGCUUCAAAAGGAUAGAAAAAGUAGUUGUCGAUUGAUAAUGUGCACAUGAAGAUUGUAGCUGACAAAAGUGAGUUCAUAUAAUAAUAAUUACUAACCAUGUUGAUUCAGGUGAGAAGGAAACUCAGACGGUUGAGUGUGACUUACGUAGAAAUCGAGUUGCAUGCCACUUCAUAAUUUGGGUUGGCUUUGAUAUUUGCAGAGGUAGAAAUCGAGUUGCAUGCCACUUCAUAAUUUGGGUUGGCUUCGAUAUUUGCAG